rnacentral:rRNA from 1 species
UACGAAGGGGGCUAGCGUUGUUCGGAUUUACUGGGCGUAAAGCGCACGUAGGCGGAUCGAUCAGUCAGGGGUGAAAUCCCAGAGCUCAACUCUGGAACUGCCUUUGAUACUGACGAUCUGGAGUAUGGAAGAGGUGAGUGGAAUUCCGAGUGUAGAGGUGAAAUUCGUAGAUAUUCGGAGGAACACCAGUGGCGAAGGCGGCUCACUGGUCCAUUACUGACGCUGAGGUGCGAAAGCGUGGGGAGCAAACAGG